rnacentral:rRNA from 1 species
GAUGAACGCUGGCGGCGUGCUUAACACAUGCAAGUCGAACGAUGAAGCCCAGCUUGCUGGGUGGAUUAGUGGCGAACGGGUGAGUAACACGUGAGCAACCUGCCCCUGACUCUGGGAUAAGCGCUGGAAACGGCGUCUAAUACUGGAUAUGUCCCGUCACCGCAUGGUGUGCGGGUGGAAAGAUUUUUCGGUUGGGGAUGGGCUCGCGGCCUAUCAGCUUGUUGGUGAGGUAAUGGCUCACCAAGGCGUCGACGGGUAGCCGGCCUGAGAGGGUGACCGGCCACACUGGGACUGAGACACGGCCCAGACUCCUACGUGAGGCAGCAGUGGGGAAUAUUGCACAGUGGGCGGAAGCCUGAUGCAGCAACGCCGCGUGAGGGAUGACGGCCUUCGGGUUGUAAACCUCUUUUAGCAGGGAAGAAGCGAAAGUGACGGUACCUGCAGAAAAAGCACCGGCUAACUACGUG